rnacentral:rRNA from 1 species
UACGUAGGGUGCAAGCGUUGCUCGGAAUCAUUGGGCGUAAAGAGCGUGUAGGCGGUUCGGUAAGUCGGCUGUGAAAGUCCAGGGCUCAACCCUGGGAUGCCGGUCGAUACUGCCGGACUAGAGUUCGGAAGAGGCGAGUGGAAUUCCCGGUGUAGCGGUGAAAUGCGCAGAUAUCGGGAGGAACACCAAUGGCGAAGGCAGCUCGCUGGGACGUUACUGACGCUGAGACGCGAAAGCGUGGGGAGCGAACAGG